GCUCAGGAUGAACGCUGGCGGCGUGCUUAACACAUGCAAGUCGAACGAUGAAGCCCGUGCUUGCACGGGUGGAUUAGUGGCGAACGGGUGAGUAUCACGUGAGUAACCUGCCCUUAACUCUGGGAUAAGCCUGGGAAACUGGGUCUAAUACCGGAUACGACCAGUCACCGCAUGGUGUGCUGGUGGAAAGCUUUUGCGGUUUUGGAUGGACUCGCGGCCUAUCAGCUAGACGGUGGGGUAAUGGCCUACCGUGGCGAUGACGGGUAGCCGGCCCGAGAGGGUGACCGGCCACACUGGGACUGAGACACGGCCCAGACUCCUACGGGAGGCAGCAGUA
rnacentral:rRNA from 1 species